rnacentral:rRNA from 1 species
GACGAGGCACUACGGUGCUGAAGCAACAAAUGCCCUGCUUCCAGGAAAAGCCUCUAAGCAUCAGGUAACAUCAAAUCGUACCCCAAACCGACACAGGUGGUCAGGUAGAGAAUACCAAGGCGCUUGAGAGAACUCGGGUGAAGGAACUAGGCAAAAUGGUGCCGUAACUUCGGGAGAAGGCACGCUGACACGUAGGUGAAGUGAUUUACUCAUGGAGCUGAAGUCAGUCGAAGAUACCAGCUGGCUGCAACUGUUUAUUAAAAACACAGCACUGUGCAAACACGAAAGUGGACGUAUACGGUGUGACGCCUGCCCGGUGCCGGAAGGUUAAUUGAUGGGGUCAGCGCAAGCGAAGCUCCUGAUCGAAGCCCCGGUAAACGGCGGCCGUAACUAUAACGGUCCUAAGGUAGCGAAAUUCCUUGUCGGGUAAGUUCCGACCUGCACGAAUGGCGUAAUGAUGGCCAGGCUGUCUCCACCCGAGACUCAGUGAAAUUGAACUCGCUGUGAAGAUGCAGUGUACCCGCGGCAAGACGGAAAGACCCCGUGAACCUUUACUAUAGCUUGACACUGAACAUUGAGCCUUGAUGUGUAGGAUAGGUGGGAGGCUUUGAAGUGUGGACGCCAGUCUGCAUGGAGCCGACCUUGAAAUACCACCCUUUAAUGUUUGAUGUUCUAACGUGGACCCGUUACCCGGGUUGCGGACAGUGUCUGGUGGGUAGUUUGACUGGGGCGGUCUCCUCCUAAAGAGUAACGGAGGAGCACGAAGGUUGGCUAAUCCUGGUCGGACAUCAGGAGGUUAGUGCAAUGGCAUAAGCCAGCUUGACUGCGAGCGUGACGGCGCGAGCAGGUGCGAAAGCAGGUCAUAGUGAUCCGGUGGUUCUGAAUGGAAGGGCCAUCGCUCAACGGAUAAAAGGUACUCCGGGGAUAACAGGCUGAUACCGCCCAAGAGUUCAUAUCGACGGCGGUGUUUGGCACCUCGAUGUCGGCUCAUCACAUCCUGGGGCUGAAGUAGGUCCCAAGGGUAUGGCUGUUCGCCAUUUAAAGUGGUACGCGAGCUGGGUUUAGAACGUCGUGAGACAGUUCGGUCCCUAUCUGCCGUGGGCGCUGGAGAACUGAGGGGGGCUGCUCCUAGUACGAGAGGACCGGAGUGGACGCAUCACUGGUGUUCGGGUUGUCAUGCCAAUGGCACUGCCCGGUAGCUAAAUGCGGAAGAGAUAAGUGCUGAAAGCAUCUAAGCACGAAACUUGCCCCGAGAUGAGUUCUCCCUGAGACUUAGGGUCUCCUGAAGGAACGUUGAAGACGACGACGUUGAUAGGCCGGGUGUGUAAGCGCAGCGAUGCGUUGAGCUAACCGGUACUAAUGAACCGUGAGGCUUAACCUU